rnacentral:rRNA from 1 species
UGGGGAAUAUUGGACAAUGGGCGAAAGCCUGAUCCAGCCAUGCCGCGUGAGUGAAGAAGGCCUUAGGGUUGUAAAGCUCUUUCAGCGGGGAAGAUAAUGACGGUACCCGCAGAAGAAGCCCCGGCUAACUUCGUGCCAGCAGCCGCGGUAAUACGAAGGGGGCUAGCGUUGUUCGGAUUUACUGGGCGUAAAGCGCGCGUAGGCGGGUCGCUAAGUCAGGGGUGAAAUCCCGAGGCUUAACCUCGGAACUGCCUUUGAUACUGACGACCUGGAGAUCGGGAGAGGUUGGUGGAAUUCCGAGUGUAGAGGUGAAAUUCGUAGAUAUUCGGAGGAACACCAGAAGCGAAGGCGGCCAACUGGCCCGAUACUGACGCUGAGGCGCGAAAGCGUGGGGAGCAAA